UACGUAGGGGGCAAGCGUUGUCCGGAUUUAUUGGGCGUAAAGAGCGUGUAGGCGGCUUUACAGGUCCGUUGUGAAAACUCGAGGCUCAACCUCGAGACGCCGGUGGAAACCGUAAAGCUAGAGUCCGGAAGAGGAGAGUGGAAUCCUGGUGUAGCGGUGAAAUGCGCAGAUAUCAGGAGGAACACCCGUGGCGAAAGCGGCUCUCUGGGACGGUACUGACGCUGAGACGCGAAAGCCGUGGGAGCAAACAGG
rnacentral:rRNA from 1 species